rnacentral:tRNA from 1 species
GGAAAAUAAUGCCAAAUGGUUUGGCAACUGCCUGCUAAGCAGCUUGUACCUUGAUAGGUAUGUGGUUCGACUCCACUGUUUUUCG